AGCGAACGCUGGCGGCAGGCUUAACACAUGCAAGUCGAACGGGCUUCUUCGGAAGUCAGUGGCAGACGGGUGAGUAACACGUGGGAACGUGCCCUUCGGUUCGGAAUAACUCAGGGAAACUUGAGCUAAUACCGGGUACGCCCUUUUGGGGAAAGGUUGACUGCCGAAGGAUCGGCCCGCGUCUGAUUAGCUUGUUGGUGGGGUAACGGCCUACCAAGGCGACGAUCAGUAGCUGGUCUGAGAGGAUGAUCAGCCACACUGGGACUGAGACACGGCCCAGACUCCUACGGGAGGCAGCAGUGGGGAAUAUUGGACAAUGGGCGCAAGCCUGAUCCAGCCAUGCCGCGUGAGUGAUGAAGGCCUUAGGGUUGUAAAGCUCUUUUGUCCGGGACGAUAAUGACGGUACCGGAAGAAUAAGCCCCGGCUAACUUCGUG
rnacentral:rRNA from 1 species